rnacentral:rRNA from 1 species
UAGAGUUUGAUCCUGGCUCAGAUUGAACGCUGGCGGCAGGCCUAACACAUGCAAGUCGAGCGGAUGAUGGGAGCUUGCUCCCGGAUUCAGCGGCGGACGGGUGAGUAAUGCCUAGGAAUCUGCCUGGUAGUGGGGGACAACGUUUCGAAAGGAACGCUAAUACCGCAUACGUCCUACGGGAGAAAGCAGGGGACCUUCGGGCCUUGCGCUAUCAGAUGAGCCUAGGUCGGAUUAGCUAGUUGGUGGGGUAAAGGCCUACCAAGGCGACGAUCCGUAACUGGUCUGAGAGGAUGAUCAGUCACACUGGAACUGAGACACAGUCCAGACUCCUACGGGAGGCAGCAGUGGGGAAUAUUGGACAAUGGGCGAAAGCCUGAUCCAGCCAUGCCGCGUGUGUGAAGAAGGUCUUCGGAUUGUAAAGCACUUUAAGUUGGGAGGAAGGGCAGUAAGUUAAUACCUUGCUGUUUUGACGUUACCAACAGAAUAAGCACCGGCUAACUUCGUGCCAGCAGCCGCGGUAAUACGAAGGGUGCAAGCGUUAAUCGGAAUUACUGGGCGUAAAGCGCGCGUAGGUGGUUUGGUAAGAUGGAUGUGAAAUCCCCGGGCUCAACCUGGGAACUGCAUCCAUAACUGCCUGACUAGAGUACGGUAGAGGGUGGUGGAAUUUCCUGUGUAGCGGUGAAAUGCGUAGAUAUAGGAAGGAACACCAGUGGCGAAGGCGACCACCUGNNCUGAUACUGACACUG